CACGUAGGGGGCAAGCGUUGUCCGGAAUCAUUGGGCGUAAAGCGCGUGUAGGCGGCCCGAUAAGUCCGCUGUGAAAGUCCAGGGCUCAACCCUGGGAUGCCGGUGGAUACUGUCGGGCUCGAGUCCGGAAGAGGCGAGUGGAAUUCCCGGUGUAGCGGUGAAAUGCGCAGAUAUCGGGAGGAACACCAAUGGCGAGGGCAGCUCGCUGGGACGGUACUGACGCUGAGACGCGAAAGCGUGGGGAGCAAACAGG
rnacentral:rRNA from 1 species